rnacentral:rRNA from 1 species
UAGGGAAUAUUGGACAAUGGGCGAAAGCCUGAUCCAGCCAUGCCGCGUGGGGUAUGAAGGCCUUCGGGUCGUAAACCCCUUUUCUGAGGGAAGAACAACCGGGAUUAAUACCCCCGGUCUGACGGUACCUCAGGAAUAAGCAACGGCUAACUCCGUGCCAGCAGCCGCGGUAAUACGGAGGUUGCGAGCGUUGUUCGGAAUUACUGGGCGUAAAGGGAGCGCAGGCGGUUUGGUCAGUCUGAAGUGAAAGUCCGGGGCUCAACCCCGGAAGUGCUUUGGAUACUGCCAGACUUGAGUAUGCGAGAGGAAAGCGGAAUUCCAGGUGUAGCGGUGAAAUGCGUAGAUAUCUGGAGGAACACCAGUGGCGAAAGCGGCUUUCUGGCGCAUUACUGACGCUGAGGCUCGAAAGCGUGGGGAGCGAACGGG